rnacentral:rRNA from 1 species
UAGGGAAUCUUCGGCAGUGGACGAAAGUCUGACCGAGCAACGCCGCGUGAGUGAAGAAGGUUUUCGGAUCGUAAAACUCUGUUGGUAGAGAAGAACGUUGGUGAGAGUGGAAAGCUCAUCAAGUGACGGUAACUACCCAGAAAGGGACGGCUAACUACGUGCCAGCAGCCGCGGUAAUACGUAGGUCCCGAGCGUUGUCCGGAUUUAUUGGGCGUAAAGCGAGCGCAGGUGGUUUAUUAAGUCUGGUGUAAAAGGCAGUGGCUCAACCAUUGUAUGCAUU